GUGGGUUCCAACCCACGGAGAAAAUGCGGCCUUUGACUGAAGAAGAGACCCGUGUCAUGUUUGAGAAGAUCGCGAAAUAUAUUGGGGAGAAUCUUCAGCUGCUGGUGGACCGGCCCGAUGGCACCUACUGUUUCCGUCUGCACAACGACCGGGUGUACUAUGUGAGUGAGAAGAUUAUGAAGCUGGCCGCUAAUAUCUCCGGGGACAAGCUGGUGUCGCUGGGGACCUGCUUUGGAAAAUUCACUAAAACCCACAAGUUUCGGUUGCACGUCACAGCUCUGGAUUACCUUGCACCUUAUGCCAAGUAUAAAGUGUGGAUAAAGCCUGGUGCAGAGCAGUCAUUUCUGUAUGGGAACCAUGUGUUGAAAUCUGGUCUGGGUCGAAUCACUAAAAAUACUUCUCAGUACCAGGGCGUGGUGGUGUACUCCAUGGCAGACAUCCCUUUGGGUUUUGGGGUGGCAGCAAAAUCUACACAAGACUGCAGAAAAGUAGACCCCAUGGCGAUUGUGGUAUUUCAUCAGGCAGACGUUGGGGAAUAUGUGCGGCAUGAAGAGACGUUGACUUAAAACGAAGUCAUUGCAAGGACAGGCGGCUGUAUGGAAGGGCCGAGCUUUGUUUCCUGUGUUUGUGUGGACUCCACCAUCGUGUUGAAUUUUGUCAACACUCUGACCUCUUCAGGGACUUCUUAUUUACUGUACUCUCUAUCAUUGACAAAUGCAGGCUGGAUUCUUAUUAUAUACAGAGAUAAGUCAAAAAUGGGGUUUCAGAUCUUUGUGUUUGUGAUGAAAUAGAAUACUCUGUUUCAUAUUUGAA